UCGCAGUCGCGCUCGCGGCCGCCGUGGCCAUCUCGCUCGCAGUAGCCCCGGGAAGGGCAUUCGUCUUGCGCGUGGCCAUAGUCGCGACAGAAUUUCUCGCUGAACCUGGAACUCACUGCUUAUCUAGACUGGCCAGUUACUGCAGAGACCUGCUUAUUUCUGCUCUCCUGGUGCUGGGAUCCCAGACAAGAGACUACAUCAAACCCAACUCCCAACCAGUGGCGCCAGCUCCCUGUCUCCAACCCAGCCCAGUUC